GUGGCAAACGGGUGAGUAACACGUAAACAACCUGCCUUCAGGAUGGGGACAACAGACGGAAACGACUGCUAAUACCGAAUACGCUUGGGAGACCGCAUGAUCUUCCAAGGAAAGGGUGGCCUCUACCUGUAAGCUAUCGCCUGAAGAGGGGUUUGCGUCUGAUUAGGCAGUUGGUGAGGUAACGGCCCACCAAACCUACGAUCAGUAGCCGGUCUGAGAGGAUGAACGGCCACACUGGAACUGAGACACGGUCCAGACUCCUACGGGAGGCAGCAGUGGGGAAUCUUCCGCAAUGGGCGAAAGCCUGACGGAGCAACGCCGCGUGAGUGAUGACGGCCUUCGGGUUGUAAAGCUCUGUGAUCGGGGACGAACGGUCCGUAAGCUAAUGCCUUAUGGAAGUGACGGUACCCGAAUAGCAAGCCACGGCUAACUACGUGCCAGCAGCCGCGGUAAUACGUAGGUGGCAAGCGUUGUCCGGAAUUAUUGGGCGUAAAGCGCGCGCAGGCGGCUUUCUAAGUCCAUCUUAAAAGUGCGGGGCUUAACCCCGUGAUGGGAUGGAAACUGGAAAGCUGGAGUAUCGGAGAGGAAAGUGGAAUUCCUAGUGUAGCGGUGAAAUGCGUAGAGAUUAGGAAGAACAC
rnacentral:rRNA from 1 species